rnacentral:pre_miRNA from 1 species
AGCCCUUAGUCCCAGAAGAGAGCCAAGAAUUCGAGCAGCUCUAUCUGGGAUUGGGGAUCU